rnacentral:rRNA from 1 species
UACGUAGGGCGCGAGCGUUGUCCGGAAUUAUUGGGCGUAAAGAGCUCGUAGGCGGCCUGUCGCGUCAAUUGUGAAAGCCCGGGGCUUAACCCCGGGUCUGCAGUCGAUACGGGCAGGCUAGAGUGUGGUAGGGGAGAUCGGAAUUCCUGGUGUAGCGGUGAAAUGCGCAGAUAUCAGGAGGAACACCGGUGGCGAAGGCGGAUCUCUGGGCCAUUACUGACGCUGAGGAGCGAAAGCGUGGGGAGCGAACAGG